AGCAAUCGACCGCCGAGUGAUUCGAUUUAGCAGCGCUGAGGCUGUUGACGCGCGUUCUAGGUUCAGUGAAGUGGGAGGGGUCGUCCGAGCUCAUCUCCUACUGGUGAACACGGAUCACGUGACUCCGGCAGGUUGCUGCCAUUGAUGUCGCAGCACCUGUGAAAGUACCAGCGAUGGAUGAGAAAAGCAAAUAAUGGAGUAAAUGAAAUGAUAAUUUAACUUGUGAAAAUAAAAUGUAAAACAGUAUGUAUUGAAAACAAAAGAGUAAAAAGCUCCAUAUAAUAGUUUCUAUCUGUAGAACAGGUGAAUGCAGUUCCAACGAAAUGUAAACAAACGUGCAGAUAAGAAAAUUGCUCUUUGAAUAUUUGCACUGCUCUUAAUCAAACUAAAAUGUAUUUAGCCGACCAGAGUUUGUGCAGUUAUAUAACAAUGUUCAAAUAAAGUACUAAAUAAAUAAUUAGGUUCCUUU